GAUGAACGCUGGCGGCGUGCCUAAUACAUGCAAGUCGAGCGAACGGACGAGAAGUUUGCUUCUCUGAUGUUAGCGGCGGACGGGUGAGUAACACGUGGAUAACCUACCUAUAAGACUGGGAUAACUUCGGGAAACCGGAGCUAAUACCGGAUAAUAUUUUGAACCGCAUGGUUCAAGAGUGAAAGACGGUCUUGCUGUCACUUAUAGAUGGAUCCGCGCUGCAUUAGCUAGUUGGUAAGGUAACGGCUUACCAAGGCAACGAUGCAUAGCCGACCUGAGAGGGUGAUCGGCCACACUGGAACUGAGACACGGUCCAGACUCCUACGGGAGGCAGCAGUAGGGAAUCUUCCGCAAUGGGCGAAAGCCUGACGGAGCAACGCCGCGUGAGUGAUGAAGGUCUUCGGAUCGUAAAACUCUGUUAUUAGGGAAGAACAUAUGUGUAAGUAACUGUGCACAUCUUGACGGUACCUAAUCAGAAAGCCACGGCUAACUACGUG
rnacentral:rRNA from 1 species